AGCGAACGCUGGCGGCAGGCCUAACACAUGCAAGUCGAACGGAUCCUUCGGGAUUAGUGGCGGACGGGUGAGUAACACGUGGGAACGUGCCUUUUGGUUCGGAACAACUCAGGGAAACUUGAGCUAGUACCGAAUGUGCCCUUCGGGGGAAAGAUUUAUCGCCAUUAGAGCGGCCCGCGUCUGAUUAGCUUGUUGGUGAGGUAAAGGCUCACCAAGGCUACGAUCAGUAGCUGGUCUGAGAGGAUGAUCAGCCACAUUGGGACUGAGACACGGCCCAAACUCCUACGGGAGGCAGCAGUGGGGAAUCUUGCGCAAUGGGCGAAAGCCUGACGCAGCCAUGCCGCGCGAAUGAUGAAGGUCUUAGGAUUGUAAAAUUCUUUCACCGGGGACGAUAAUGACGGUACCCGGAGAAGAAGCCCCGGCUAACUUCGUGCCAGCAGCCGCGGUAAUACGAAGGGGGCUAGCGUUGCUCGGAAUUACUGGGCGUAAAGGGAGCGU
rnacentral:rRNA from 1 species